rnacentral:rRNA from 1 species
AUUGAACGCUGGCGGAAUGCUUUACACAUGCAAGUCGAACGGCAGCACGGACUUCGGUCUGGUGGCGAGUGGCGAACGGGUGAGUAAUGUAUCGGAACGUGCCCAGUCGUGGGGGAUAACGUAGUGAAAAUUACGCUAAUACCGCAUACGAUCUAUGGAUGAAAGCGGGGGAUCGCAAGACCUCGCGCGAUUGGAGCGGCCGAUAUCAGAUUAGGUAGUUGGGGGGGUAAAGGCCCACCAAGCCAACGAUCUGUAGCUGGUCUGAGAGGACGACCAGCCACACUGGGACAGAGACACGGUCCAGCCUCCUACGGGCGGCAGCAGUGGGGAAUUUUGGACAAUGGGCGAAAGCCUGCUCCAGCCAUUCCGCGUGCAGGAUGAAGGCCCUCGGGUUGUAAACUGCUUUUGUACAGAACGAAAAGGUUUCUACUAAUACUAGGAGCUCAUGACGGUACUGUAAGAAUAAGCACCGGCUAACUACGUGCCAGCCGCCGCAGUAA